rnacentral:lncRNA from 1 species
AGUAAAUUAUCGUACUGUUUCUCAUCUCAGUAUUGACUAUGGUAUUUUUACAGGUACCCAGUCAAGAGAUUAUGACAUAUCCAUGGUUUUGACCUGGAUAUUCUGCAAGUAUCAAGGUGCUGUCAGUGGAUGGUGGUGAAACUAACAAUGAUAGUGAACAUGGACUUAGCUAAAAGAGAGGGAAAAGAUGGUGUGAGCCUUUACACUUUGGAGAGCUUCAGAUUUCAGUUAUCUCGGAUUCUGUCAGGAGAUUAUGGUGAGCCCAACAGUGGUAGUUGAUGUGGGACACUGCUGGAAUAUAGGUA